rnacentral:tRNA from 2 species
UCCGGCGUCGGCCGGGUGGGGAAGCGGGCUCCGGCCCCGCGUCGGGCUCCGGCCCAUCGUCGGGCUUCGGCCGCCCGCGUCGGGG